rnacentral:snRNA from 1 species
AAAAAGGGUGCUCGCUACUUUAAUAGCGCGUCAGUACGAUUAGAAAUCGUGCUGGCGGGGUAUGGCAAAUCAAGACAUACCCAGUACAUAAUUUUUGUAAACGUGAGGCUGUCGGCUGCCAAUUUUGCACCGGCGCCUCC